UUUUUGAUUAAACAUGUUUAUUACAUGUGCAACUUUUUGCUUUUUUUUUUCUCCAAAUGCUUCAAGAGAAUGGAACUUAGGUGGCUAUAUUCAUUAUAUCUGGUUAAUUCUAAAAACCUGAAUAUUCAUUUUUUGUAUGUCUCCUAAAUAAUGGUGGAUGUAUGCAUGGUAAACCAUUGAUAGGUGCAAAACUUCCUUGUU
rnacentral:misc_RNA from 1 species